GACGAACGCUGGCGGCGUGCUUAACACAUGCAAGUCGAACGGUGAAGGGGCCUGCUUUUGUGGGCCCUGGAUGAGUGGCGAACGGGUGAGUAACACGUGAGUAACCUGCCCCCUUCUUCUGGAUAACCGCAUGAAAGUGUGGCUAAUACGGGAUAUUCUGGGUCUGUCGCAUGAUGGGUCUGGGAAAGAUUGUGCCUUUGGGUGUUUUUGGUGGGGGAUGGGCUCGCGGCCUAUCAGCUUGUUGGUGGGGUGAUGGCCUACCAAGGCGGUGACGGGUAGCCGGCCUGAGAGGGUGGACGGUCACACUGGGACUGAGACACGGCCCAGACUCCUACGGGAGGCAGCAGUGGGGAAUAUUGCACAAUGGGCGCAAGCCUGAUGCAGCGACGCCGCGUGAGGGAUGGAGGCCUUCGGGUUGUAAACCUCUUUCGCCAGUGAAGCAGGCCUGCUCCUUGUGGGUGGGUUGACGGUAGCUGGAUAAGAAGCGCCGGCUAACUACGUG
rnacentral:rRNA from 1 species